GCCUCUUAGUAGAAUAGGUAAAACGCUGGUCUGAUAUAUCAGAGUAACGAGGUUCGAUUCCUUGUAGAGGCCCUA
rnacentral:tRNA from 1 species